AUAUUUUGAGUGCCAACAUGAUGCCACAAGUGGAAAAUUCCUCACCUGACCUCACAUGAUGGAUGGGUGGCAGGCCUAAGUGGCAGCUGGGACUCUACUCCUUGAAGCUCAUACGAACUAGGAUUAUGAAACACUCAGUGUCCAAGAUUAUCUUCAGCCUCAAAAUCCAGCAUGCAGCCAGAAGAGAGCAUUUGGAAAUCUC
rnacentral:lncRNA from 1 species